AAUUCUCAACUCUCUUAUACUGUUUUGUAAAGGAGAGCUUGGAUUGUGGAGGCUUGCUGGCCACUUGUAUGGGGUCAGCUCCUCUGAAAUGCAUUAGCGGAACCGUUUGCGAUCUGCCACAAGUGUGAUAACUUAUCUACACUAGCGAGGGGAUUGCUCUCAGUAAUGUUCAGCUUCUAAUUGUCUCUGUUUUGUGAGACUAACUUUUUGAAU
rnacentral:misc_RNA from 1 species